UGCGGACGCUUCCAGUCAUUUAUGAGGUAAUAUGUGUGAGUCAUUGAUAUGACCAGCGGGUCCUGGUAAUACAUACCUCCAUGGACCCGGACGUUAGUAAGCAGACAACAGUCAAUACAGACAUUAGAUAGAGACAGUGGAUACGGACAGUGGACGAGAACACUAGACAAAGACAGUGGUAGUCGACAACGACAGAAGACAGUCGUCAGGCCAGUGGGCAGUAGGGAAGGACAGUGGAAAGUGGACAAGGACAGGACAGGACAGUGGCUAAUACACUUGUCCCGACAUCAAUUUUGUUCGACGGCUACGAUGUAUAGGAGAUGGGAUACACGCCCUCUGGUCCACCAUAGUGACGAUACUGGUGAUACUCGGCACCUUGCUGCAGAUUUAUGGAACCAACGCAAUAUCAAAGAAUGAAGAAAAUGUUAAUUCGAACUCAAUUUAAGCAUAUGAUACUUAUCGGAUCCGUUAAGAUUUCUUCAAACACCCGUGCCGGUCAGCUUGCUUUAAAUAUAAGCAUGUUUAGAUUAUCCUCAACAUCCAACAGUCUGUCUGCUCGCCUCUUUCGAGGAAGGGAAUGAUCAAAUUCUUGUGGUCAAUGCAGAUAAUACGCGCUCUUCUUCUCUUCGUAUUGAAAAUAGUCAAUUAAUGCUUCGUUUAUCAUGAGUUUUAACAUUCAUGUAUACACAAUUAUUUAAUUAAUAAAAUAUUA
rnacentral:lncRNA from 1 species